AACAGAGGAGAUAGGUGCUAAGUGCAUCCUAAAACGUCCCCCGGCAGCUAUAAGCCUAUAGCAGCAUAUCAAGGGGCUGGACCAGGUGAACCUGAUUCAGCCCUAACUAUAAGCUCUGUCAAAGAGGAAGGUCUUAAAUGACAGAGAUAUAAAUGUAUGUUAUGUUAUUGCUUACCGUAUCUUAAACUCAACAAUCAGAGGAGCUUCCCGAACUCCGCGUUCCCACCCGAAGGUUGUGUUAUGUGUUUGGGGAGUCUGAUAAGGAAGUGAUAAUAAACCAGACGGAAGGAAUAUGUCAACUUGUCCUCAGUUCCACUUCUCCUUUGUUGUUGUGUGUGUGUGUGAUAAGCUUUCAAUAAAAGGCUGGACCAAAGGGGUGCUCGGCGGAAUGUCUUGGAGGUCGUCGUGUUCAGAGCAUAGGCGACUGAGCUUCCCCUUUGGCCAAAGCUUUGGUCAAAGAUA